AGAAUCAACGCUGGCGGCGUGCCUAACACAUGCAAGUCGAACGCGGUUACUCCCUGUUUCGCAAGAAAUGGGGUGUAACUGAGUGGCGAACGGGUGAGUAACACGUGGGUGAUCUACCUUUGAGUGGGGGAUAACGUUCCGAAAGGAACGCUAAUACCGCAUGACGUUCUGGGUUUGAAGACCUGGAAACCAAAGUCGGGGACCGUAAGGCCUGACGCUUGGAGAGGAGCCCGCGCCUGAUUAGCUAGUUGGUGAGGUAAUGGCUCACCAAGGCGACGAUCAGUA
rnacentral:rRNA from 1 species